UUAAGUUCAGCGGGUAUCCCUACCUGAUCCGAGGUCAACCACAGAGUUGGGGGGUUCUGGCAGGCGGCCACCGGACCCUGGAGCGAGAGAUGUACUACGCUGAGGGCCAGGCGGCGCCGCCACUGUCUUUAGGGCCGGCCACAGCGGGCGGGGCCCAACACCAAGCGGGGCUUGAGGGUUGAAAUGACGCUCGAACAGGC
rnacentral:misc_RNA from 1 species